AAAAGGCAUUGAUUAUCUUGCAAAACCAGGAAGCACCAGUAUGGCUGGAUCAGGGGCUCAGGUGCUGCUUUUAUCCCUCAGCCCCUGAUUCUCUAGCUGGCUCUUCUGCUUGCAGCCACGUGAUGCUCCCUCUACAC